rnacentral:rRNA from 1 species
GGANCAGCUAAGCAGGAGGAAUCUACUGUAGGGUGAAUCGGAGGAGAGCAGUAANCUAUAUACUGUUGCUGGCAGGCGCGGCUAGGGUCUCCGUGACCCUCCCGGACCUCCCGCCCCCGUGGCGGGUCGGCGCCCGCCGGAGGAUAACCAAACUCUGAUUUAACGACGCUUUCUUCUGAGUGGUACAAGCAAAUAAUCAAAACUUUUAACAACGGAUCUCUUGGCUUCUGGCAUCGAUGAAGAACGCAGCGAAAUGCGAUAAGUAAUGUGAAUUGCAGAAUUCAGUGAAUCAUCGAAUCUUUGAACGCACAUUGCGCCCGCCAGCAUUCUGGCGGGCAUGCCUGUUCGAGCGUCAUUUCAACCCUCAAGCUCUGCUUGGUGUUGGGGCCCUACAGCUGAUGUAGGCCCUCAAAGGUAGUGGCGGACCCUCCCGGAUCCCUCCUUUGCNGUAGUAACUUUACGUCUCGCACUGGGAUCCGGAGGGACUCUUGCCGUAAAACCCCAAUUUUCCAAAGGUUGACCUCGGAUCAGGUAGGAAUACCCGCUGAACUUAAGCAUAUCAAUAAGCGGAA